GUAGGCAUUUAGAUUGUCAAAACAAAAGUUCAUAGAACAGGGUAGAUAAUUUAAACAUGUGCUAUCUUAGUCUCUCCUAGAUUAGAUUUUCAUUGCCUACAUGUUCGGAUAUCAGCAAUGCCAUCAUAAAUGUCUGAAUCAACGUGGCUGAAAGAAACACUACUAAGAUUGAACUGAAGACUCCUAGAAGAAAACAGAUAACAGCAGAAAUAGCCCUGAGAGAUCAAAUUGCUUUUUAUUUCAUGGACAUCAUGAUUUGACACAGAAAGGUCAGAAGGAAGUCAUGCAGAACUCACCUGCAAGGGAUCCAGAGAGCUCGACAGGUGGCUGAAUUUAAUUUCACAGAAGAAUGAAGAAAACUCAGGAGAAUAGAAAAUUAACCUAAGAUCAAAGGAGCUGAGGGAAAUUGCCAAACUUGUAUUUCUAGUAGGGACCAUUUUUGGAAUUUGUUGUUGUAUUUAACUUUGAGAAAUAUCUAUGAAACCCA
ensembl:lincRNA